rnacentral:rRNA from 1 species
UACGUAGGGGGCAAGCGUUGUCCGGAAUUAUUGGGCGUAAAGAGCGCGUAGGCGGUCCGAUAAGUCGGCUGUGAAAGUCAGGGGCUCAACCCUUGAAAGCCGGCCGAUACUGUCGGACUAGAGUCCGGAAGAGGCAAGUGGAAUUCCCGGUGUAGCGGUGAAAUGCGCAGAUAUCGGGAGGAAGACCAGUGGCGAAGGCGGGUCUCUGGACAGUUCCUGACGCUGAGGCACGAAGGCCAGGGGAGCAAACGGG